rnacentral:rRNA from 1 species
UACGUAGGGAGCGAGCGUUGUCCGGAAUUACUGGGCGUAAAGGGCGCGUAGGCGGGGAUUUAAGUCAGAUGUGAAAACUAUAGGCUCAACCUGUAGCCUGCAUUUGAAACUGGAUUUCUUGAGGGCAGGAGAGGAAAGUGGAAUUCCUAGUGUAGCGGUGAAAUGCGUAGAUAUUAGGAGGAACACCAGUGGCGAAGGCGACUUUCUGGACUGUACCUGACGCUGAGGCGCGAAAGCGUGGGGAGCGAAC